rnacentral:sRNA from 1 species
ACAAGGGUAAGGGAGGAUUUCUCCCCCCUCUGAUGAGUUGUUAGUAAGUCGGGAAACUUAACAGUAACAACACAACCAGUAUGAUGACGAACUUCAUCAUAACCCUUUCCUUAUACAAGGCCCCUUCUUCGGGAGGGGCUUUCC